GGGGGGUUGGUUGUGUAACUGCUGCAAUGAUAUGGGGUGACAGAGACAAUUAAAUUGUAUUGCGGCGAGCGGGGGGGGCCUAUUCCUCCUAGGGCAGAGGCACAAGUAUCUUCGAGGUCUUACCCUUCCUGCCAGCCAAAGAGGUUCAUCCAGGCCUUACCCGAGAGAGAGACUGCGCUGACCGGUCAAGAGAAAAUCUACAAGAGACCUGAAUCAGCAGUGUUAUAAAGCACAUAGCCAACGCUAAUUAAUAAAGAAUUUAAGCAUAAUAGCCCAGACGUACCAUGGCCUAUAGCUGGUAGAAACGGAGCUAUCCUACGGCCUACAAGAUAAAAGCAUAUGGCACCAAAUUGGAAUCAGUAGUCUUUAAAAGAAUAAAUGGACUAGCAACUGUCUCUGGGGGAGCAGCCCCGGUUAGGUACUAUU